CAGCAGCCACGGUAAUACGGAGGGUGCAAGCGUUAAUCGGAAUUACUGGGCGUAAAGCGCACGCAGGCGGUCUGACAAGUCAGAUGUGAAAUCCCCGGGCUUAACCUGGGAACUGCAUUUGAAACUGUCAGGCUGGAGUCUUGUAGAGGGGGGUAGAAUUCCAGGUGUAGCGGUGAAAUGCGUAGAGAUCUGGAGGAAUACCGGUGGCGAAGGCGGCCCCCUGGACAAAGACUGACGCUCAGGUGCGAAAGCGUGGGGAGCAAACAGGAUUAGAUACCCGGGUAGUCCCUGUCUCUUAUAC
rnacentral:rRNA from 1 species